rnacentral:rRNA from 1 species
UGGGGAAUAUUGCGCAAUGGGCGAAAGCCUGACGCAGCGACGCAGCGUGAGGGACGAAGGCCUUCGGGUUGUAAACCUCUUUCAGCGGGGACGAAGCGAAAGUGACGGUACCCGCAGAAGAAGCACCGGCUAACUACGUGCCAGCAGCCGCGGUAAUACGUAGGGUGCAAGCAUUGUCCGGAUUUAUUGGGCGUAAAGAGCUCGUAGGCGGCUUGUCACGUCGGGUGUGAAAACUCGGGGCUCAACCCCGAGCCUGCACUCGAUACGGGCUAGCUAGAGUGUUGCAGGGGAGACUGGAAUUCCUGGUGUAGCGGUGAAAUGCGCAGAUAUCAGGAGGAACACCGGUGGCGAAGGCGGGUCUCUGGGCAACUACUGACGCUGAGGAGCGAAAGCGUGGGGAGCGAACA